UACGGGGGGGGCAAGCGUUGUUCGGAAUUACUGGGCGUAAAGGGCUCGUAGGCGGCCAACUAAGUCAGACGUGAAGUCCCUCGGCUUAACCGGGGAACUGCGUCUGAUACUGGAUGGCUUGAAUCCGGGAGAGGGAUGCGGAAUUCCAGGUGUAGCGGUGAAAUGCGUAGAUAUCUGGAGGAACACCGGUGGCGAAGGCGGCAUCCUGGACCGGCAUUGACGCUGAGGAGCGAAAGCCAGGGGAGCAAACGGG
rnacentral:rRNA from 1 species